rnacentral:lncRNA from 1 species
UCUUGGAAAAAUAGAUAUUAUUCAAAGGGUAGAAAAAUUAAAGGUGCUAAUGCUACCUAUUUUCAAAUUAUGCUUCUAUUUAUUUUAUAAGGCCAUAAAUAAGGCAAAACAAGGUAGAUUAGAAAAAUAAAGGAUAUAGGCAUAUGUAGGGAGGAAUUAGGAGUACAAAUUAGUAAAAGUUACCUCAAGAAGACGAAAUUUGAUACCCGAAGAGGACCGGUUAUGAACCUAGGUCAAAAUCAGACCCCGAGGCACAAAACCAUGCUCUGAUGGCGACUCAAGGAUUCUUUGGCAGAUCAGAGAGUGGAGUUUGAUAGAAGAUUGGAUAGGGUUUCUAUGGAUGUUGGUUUUGGGUGAUUUGGAUUUGUAUUGACUUUGCAAUAGCUUUG